rnacentral:misc_RNA from 1 species
GAUGAAGAACGCAGUGAAAUGCGAUAAGUAAUGUGAAUUGCAGAAUUCAGUGAAUCAUCGAAUCUUUGAACGCACAUUGCGCCCCCUGGUAUUCCGGGGGGCAUGCCUGUCCGAGCGUCAUUGCAACCUUCAAGCGCGGCUUGUGUGUUGGGUCUCGUCCCCCGUGGACGGGCCCGAAAGGCAGUGGCGGCGUCCCGACAUGGUGCCCGAGCGUAUGGGAAUCCUCUUCCGCUCGAAUCGGCCCAUGCGGCGCUGGUCGUAACCAAAUUUUUUACCGGUUGACCUCGGAUCAGGUAGGGAUACCCGCUGAACUUAAGCAUAUCAAUAAGCGGAGGA